rnacentral:rRNA from 1 species
GACGAACGCUGGCGGCACGCCUAACACAUGCAAGUCGAACGGACUUAAAAGAGCUUGCUUUUUUAAGUUAGUGGCGGACGGGUGAGUAACACGUGAGCAACCAGCCUCUGAGAGGGGGAUAGCUUCUGGAAACGGAUGGUAAUACCCCAUAAAAUAUAAAUAUCGCAUGAUAGAUAUAUCAAAGAAAUUCGCUCAGAGAUGGGCUCGCGUCUGAUUAGAUAGUUGGUGAGGUAACGGCUCACCAAGUCGACGAUCAGUAGCCGGACUGAGAGGUUGAACGGCCACAUUGGGACUGAGACACGGCCCAGACUCCUACGGGAGGCAGCAGUGGGGAAUAUUGCACAAUGGAGGGAACUCUGAUGCAGCGAUGCCGCGUGGAGGAAGAAGGUUUUCGGAUUGUAAACUCCUUUUAUCAGGGACGAUAAUGACGGUACCUGAAGAAAAAGCUCCGGCUAACUACGUG